rnacentral:rRNA from 1 species
GACGAACGCUGGCGGCGUGCUUAACACAUGCAAGUCGAACGGAAAGGCCCUGCUUUUGGGGGGUGCUCGAGUGGCGAACGGGUGAGUAACACGUGAGUAACCUGCCCUUGACUUUGGGAUAACUUCAUGAAACUGGGGCUAAUACCGGAUAAGAUCUCCUGCUGCAUGGUGGGGGUUGGAAAGUUUCGGCGGUUGGGGAGGGACUCGCGUCUUAUCAGCUUGUUGGUGGGGUAGUGUCUUAGCAAGGCUUGGACGGGUGGCAGGCCUGAGAGGGUGACCGGCCACAUUGGGCCUGAGAUGAGGCCCAGACUCCUACGGGAGGCAGCAGUGGGGAAUAUUGCACAAUGGGCGGAAGCCUGAUGCAGCACCGCAGCGUGCGGGAUGACGGCCUUCGGGUUGUAAACCGCUUUCGCCUGUGACGAAGCGUGAGUGACGGUAAUGGGUAAAGAAGCACCGGCUAACUACGUG